rnacentral:rRNA from 1 species
AGAAUCAACGCUGGCGGCGUGCCUAACACAUGCAAGUCGAACGAGAAAGUGGAGCAAUCCAUGAGUAAAGUGGCGCACGGGUGAGUAACACGUGACUAACCUACCCUUGAGUGGGGGGAUAACCUAGAGAAAUCUGGGCUAAUACCGCAUAAUACCUUCGGGUCAAAGGAGCAAUUCGCUUAAGGAGGGGGUCGCGGCCGAUUAGUUAGUUGGCGGGGUAAUGGCCCACCAAGACUGUGAUCGGUAUCCGGCCUGAGAGGGCGCACGGACACACUGGAACUGAAACACGGUCCAGACUCCUACGGGAGGCAGCAGUGGGAAUUUUGCGCAAUGGGGGAAACCCUGACGCAGCAACGCCGCGUGGAGGAUGAAGCCCUUGGGGCGUAAACUCCUUUCGAUCGGGAAGAUAAUGACGGUACCGAGAGAAGAAGCCCCGGCUAACUUCGUGCCAGCAGCCGC